GACGAACGCUGGCGGCGUGCUUAACACAUGCAAGUCGAGCGGUAAGGCCUCUUCGGGGGUACACAAGCGGCGAACGGGUGAGUAACACGUGGGUGACCUGCCCUCAGCUCUGGGAUAAGCCUGGGAAACUGGGUCUAAUACCGGAUAUGACCUUUCCUCGCAUGGGGUUUGGUGGAAAGUUUUUUCGGCUGGGGAUGGGCCCGCGGCCUAUCAGCUUGUUGGUGGGGUGAUGGCCUACCAAGGCGACGACGGGUAGCCGGCCUGAGAGGGCGACCGGCCACACUGGGACUGAGACACGGCCCAGACUCCUACGGGAGGCAGCAGUGGGGAAUAUUGCGCAAUGGGCGGAAGCCUGACGCAGCGACGCCGCGUGGGGGAGGACGGCCUUCGGGUUGUAAACCUCUUUCGACCCCGACGAAUUUGGACGGUAGGGGUAGAAGAAGCACCGGCCAACUACGUG
rnacentral:rRNA from 1 species